CAUUACAAGUGACCCCGGUCUUACCACCGGGAUGUUCAUAACCCUUUGUUGUCCGACUCUGUUGCCUCCGGGGCGACCCUGCCUUCGGGCGGGGGCUCCGGGUGGACACUUCAAACUCUUGCGUAACUUUGCAGUCUGAGUAAACUUAAUUAAUAAAUUAAAACUUUUAACAACGGAUCUCUUGGUUCUGGCAUCGAUGAAGAACGCAGCGAAAUGCGAUAAGUAAUGUGAAUUGCAGAAUUCAGUGAAUCAUCGAAUCUUUGAACGCACAUUGCGCCCCCUGGUAUUCCGGGGGGCAUGCCUGUUCGAGCGUCAUUUCACCACUCAAGCCUCGCUUGGUAUUGGGCAACGCGGUCCGCCGCGUGCCUCAAAUCGACCGGCUGGGUCUUCUGUCCCCUAAGCGUUGUGGAAACUAUUCGCUAAAGGGUGUUCGGGAGGCUACGCCGUAAAACAACCCCAUUUCUAAAGUUGACCUCGGAUCAGGUAGGGAUACCC
rnacentral:rRNA from 1 species